GACAGAGGGGGCAAGCGUUGCUCGGAUUUACUGGGCGUAAAGGGCGCGUAGGCGGCCUCUGCAAGUCGACUGUGAAAUCUCCGGGCUUAACCCGGAAAGGUCAGCCGAUACUGCAGGGCUAGAGUGCAGAAGGGGCAACUGGAAUUCUCGGUGUAGCGGUGAAAUGCGUAGAUAUCGAGAGGAACACCUGCGGCGAAGGCGGGUUGCUGGGCUGACACUGACGCUGACAGCGCGAAAGCUAGGGGAGCGAACGGG
rnacentral:rRNA from 1 species